rnacentral:lncRNA from 1 species
CGGUGUCCCGCGAAUGAUGUUCUUCACAAUUACACUUCUUUUCCAACACAUCUAAUAGCUUACGUUGCAAUGUAACUCUUUGAACAUAAUCCUUUGAAUUUCUUUUAUCGUUGGACCCUUACCAUCUCAAAAAUGAUUUACGCAUAGAGAUGUAGACACGUAAUUUCGUCCCUCCCCGAUAUCGUUUUACCCAUUUUUACCUUAUCCUACCGUGUACCCUCACCCAUGUAAUUACAUCCCAUAAAAAUACAAAAAAAUAACUCUCAACAAAAUUCCUUACAAACUUUUAUUCUUUUUAACAUCCUAACAACUCUUUCAAUUAAAAGAAGACACAUUACCCAUACCCCUACCCCCU